AUUGCUUUUUAUUCUGACGUACACUACAUGUAUAAUACGAUGAAUGUAAAAUAGAUAUUGGCUGAAAAAAAUCUAUGGUGGUCGUGAAAUAACAUAUAUAUCUUUAAAUUAAUGAAAAAAAUUGAUUUAGCAACAAUAUUUGUCGUUUGCUAAAAAAUCGGAAAAAAAUUAGUAUAAAAGAUCUAGUAAACUAAAAAUUCAUUGGAACUUUUAGUUUAACCAGCGAACAAAGAACAUAGAAGCUCUUGUGGAAGACAACCAAUUUAGAAGUUUCUGUUAAAUUUUCCAUAUUGUUAAAAUUUAUAUUUUUUACUUUUAUUUUUUUUAUUGAGUAAAUUUCAUUGACAUAAUGGACACUUUUCCUAUUUUUUCGUCUAUGGUGUUUCCUUAUUUUUUUAUUCCUAUUUCAAUUAUUCAAGAUCUCGCUUUUAGUGUUACUUUAGUUUUAAUAUUUCUUAUAUUUUUGGACGAUGAACUUUCUAAGUAGAACAAAACUAUGAAGUCCAGACCCGUAUUAAAAAAUUUGGCGCCCUCGGGCAUAUAAUUUAUACCCCCUCCUCAUCUCCACAAUAAUAAAUAAUAAUAAUAAUAUAACACUAAUUAUUUCGUUCAUAAUUGAUGCUUUAAUAUUAAAAUCCAACUUAAUAAUUAAUAAAUGAGAAUUAUUUAAUACUUUUUUUAAUUAACAAAUUAUAACUUUCUUUUUUUUAAGUAUUUUUUUUCUUGCUUGAUUAUUGGCAAAUUCUUCAAUUAUGUCAUUUUUCUAAAAUACAAAUUAAAAAAAUAUUAAAUGAAAUGCAAUUAUUUAUUUUUUUUAUUACAUUUUUAAAAUUAAUUUUGCUAAAAUAUUUUGCCGCCCCCGGGCAUAUGCCUACCCGUGCCACCCCCUAAAUACGGCCCUGAUGAAGUCAAAAGCUAAACCAAUUAGUACAUCAAUUUCGACAACAGACACCAAUGCUACAACUAUUUUGACAAAUAUUUUAUCAGAUUAAAAGUUUACAGGGAUCCACACAAAUUACGACUUUUGAAACAGAAGAAAAUAUCAUUGAUAAUAAUACACCCGACAAUUCCAUUGAAACUAACCUUAACAGUGCUUCUUUGAAUAUAUCACACCCCCACCUACCGAACAAAGACUUUACUGACUAUGUGACCCUCUGCCAGCUCCAAAACGCUACAGAGGUGUGCGAGAACAACAUUUCGACUCAAAUAAGUCACUCGACUGAAUCAAUUCAAUCAUAUACACAAGAUUCGUCAUUUACUAGUAAAAUUUCUCAAAUUAAACAUAACUUGGACAGUAAUAGCUCCAAUAAAACUACCUCUCAUAAUAUUCCAAAGCACUUAUGGAAUAAAAGAUACUUCUUGUUUGAAAAAUUUGAUGACGGCAUUCUCUUGGACUAUGAAUCGUUUUAAUUCCAUGUGCCCUGAAAUUUUGAGCAAGCUUAUUGCUAAGAGGUGUAAGGGUUACAAUGUAGCGAUGGAUCCGUUUUGUGGCGACGGAGGUAACGUAAUUCAGUUAGCAAUGAAGUAUAAAAAAGUGGUUGCGAUAGACAUUGACCCGAACAAAUUGGAAUUUGCAAAGAAAAAUGCGUAAAUUUAUAGUGUGAGGAAUAAGAUCGAAUUCAUCGAGGGUGAUUUUUUCACUUUAGCUAAAGAUCUUAAGGAAUAUAAAGCUGAAGUCGUUAUAACUUCGCCUCCAUGGGGAGGACCGUCGUACAAAAACCAUAAAACAUACAGUUUGGAGAAAAAUAUGUGUAGUGAAUACGAAGGUCGAAUCCAAUCAUCGAAUUGGUCCGAAAUAUUUCUCCCAACGUAGCACUACACAUACCUAAAAGUACUGAUCGAAAUGAAUUAUUCAAAAUAGGAAAAUAUUUUAAUAACAACUUAGAAAUACAGAAUAACUAUAUCAUUGUAGAACUGGAUUCCAUCACUACAUUUUUUGGUAGAUUCAAUAAUAUGAUAUCAAAAAGCAGACAUACUAGUAUAAAACUCUUCAGUCAAAAAAGAAAACAUAAUGAAUACUCAUUACGGUCAAAUUUUACGAUUCAACUGAUAUAGACAAUUACUAAUCUCGACAUUAAUGUAUACUGCUCUAGAUUUUGACUUCCAGUAAUUAAUGAUUACGAACAAUCUUAUAAAUAAUAAAAAUUGAUCACUUGUGCCUAUUAAUUAAGUAAAAUUAAAACUAUAUUAAAAAUAUUAUUAAUUUAAAAAAUUAAAAAAUAUGAAAAUCAAAGCCACAAAAAAUUAAUGAAAAGUCGUGGAUACGUAUUUCGGAAACAAUGUUACCAUUAUCAACGCUAAACACAUACUAUGUGUUGUAUGUGUGUGUUUAGCGUUUAAUAUAGUUUUAAUUUUACUUAAUCUUAUAUACGUAAUAACUCUUAUAUUUUGCCUCAGCUAUAACUGCAGGAUGACCCUUUUAUCUUUAAUGAUAAAUUCAGACAAGUAUAGACUUUUUAUUUACAUUUUUGGUGCUCUCCGGGUAUUUUUUUGUAAAUAUUUUUAUUUAUUAUAUAUUUUCAUUCAUUGAUUUAUUUUGUAUUAGAUUUAUAUUAUUUUAUUGAUUGAUUUUCAUAAUAAAAAAUUACUUUUUUAAUAUUAUAUGUGCCAAUAAAUCGCCAUUAU